UGGACUUCAUUGAGGAAAAUAAAUCAUCUUCAUCUGAUGAAUGUCCGACUUGCUCCAGCCUCCAACAUCUGGUCAAGGUGUUGUCUGACAUAGACUAGACCUGUAGAAUGACAAACAACAUUUCUGACAAUUAAGUAUUGAGCUGCCAUCAAGAGUGCAUCAUAACACAGAAAUAGCUAUAAAUAGCAAUAGACAGACCUACAGUAUACAGAAUUAUAGCAUUAUUUUCUAUUUCUACAUGCAUCACAAUUCAUAAUCCUCAAUUCUUGCUAACCGAGACCCCUGAGCAUGAACAUGAAAGACCUGCACGUUGCAAAGCCACCACUUAUCUGACUAAACAUCGUGAUAAAUUCCAGAUAAAGACAUACACAUUGACUUGUCCAACUGUCUGACAACGAUGGUGUGCGCAUUCAUGUUGCUCUGUGUGGUGUAGUGAAGCUUCAGAGUAACGACAAGCAGGAUGAUAUUAACACUCUUUACUGAGAACUGUCAGCAGCAUGAAAGUACGUGACUAGUAGCAUGGAGGUUCACUCUUCUUCUGCCCUAUGUACGUAAACUAGCUACCAUUCAUUACGGAACAGUGCCUCCUAGUGGUAGCACAAUAUAGAACAGUAUUACAGAACACAACAUCUCCUCUUUCUGUAAAAGAAUACUCUUACUUACUUCGGCAAUAAAAUAAAAGAGCUAAAUAUGAUCCAGCAUAGGAUGACAAUUCAAAAGUGGUAACGGGUCAUUCCUGCCAAUUAUCAAGCGCACAAAGCAUAGUUUAGUGUUAACUACAUUGGCAUUAGGGCUGAACGAUUAAUUGCAUUUGCGAUUUAAUCGCGAUAUGGUGGAACACGAUUUUCUAACCGCAACGUUCGCGAUUAAAAAACGUGGUCAAAAAAAAAUAAAAAAUUAUAAUUUUUUUUUUUUUUUUAAGAUGGUACAUUUUGCACACAGUGUUAAAAAAGUGCAUGCCUAGUGUUUAUACUUAAAAUUACUUUUUUUAAAUUACUUAAAUGCACAGUGGCAAAGCCACCGAUUUGUUGUUCUUGUUUCUGUAAUGAGCAGUUAAAUAAAAAUGUAAAAUGUGGGAAAGAAUAUUUUACACUAAAUGUAUCUAAUAUUGUGUUGUUCAUAUUUAAAUCAUUCAUUACGUUUUGUUGGGGGAAAAAAGAGGAAAAAAAAAAAUCGCAUAUUAAAUCGCAAUCGCAAUAUUUUGGUAAAAAAAUCGCAAUUAGAUUAUUUUCCCAAAUCGUUCAGCCCUAAUUGGCA
ensembl:lncRNA